rnacentral:sRNA from 1 species
UUGGGGUGUAGAUAUUCAAGGUUAUUUUCAAGUUCGAAAACGCUCUCACUCCUUCAUUUUUACGAAUUUCGAAAAUCCAAAAGCAAUUCAUGAUUCGAAAUUCGAAGAGGAAUCAUAAAAUGAACAGUAUUUCCCCAAAUUUUCACUUUCAUUUUUUAACCCAUUUUUUAUGAAAGGGGUUAGCCUUGUGAAAAUGUCAAUUUUUGAUGCUCCAAAAAUUUUUGAGUUGAGUAUACAGUUGCGGAGUUUAUGGCGAAAAAUGCGGUUUAUUGCAAUCCCCGAUAGUUUUCUUCAGAAAAUAAGGUCAAAAUCGCAAAAUUAAUAUCCCAAAAUUCAAAAGAAAUCUUUGUGAAUUUGAAAAUGCUGUAACUUUUAAAAACACCGUGCGAUUGUAAAAGUAGAGAUCUUUCCAUAUUGGUGCACCCAGAGAAAUGUUGAUACCAAACGUGCUCAUUUCAGUACCAUACGGUAUUGAUAGUAAAGCAAAAUCUUAUGGGAACAAAGCAAUAUCGCAUGGUAUGUAUGAAAUAUAAAAUGAUUAGUAACGUUAGGUACUAGCCUUAUUACCGAACUGGUACUGGUUUUAAUGCCAAUCUGUUAUUAGUUUUAAUUCCAAACCGUUAUUGGUUUUAGUACCAACCCAUUAUUGAAUAUUCCACCCCCUUAUGAACCAAAAUAAAAAACCAUUAAAAUUUUUUUUUAUCUCAUUUUAUUUUGAUUAUUUAUGUUAAGAAUUAUGAUUAACAAUUACAAAAAAAUAAUGUCACGGUGUAACACUAUUGCCUCGAUUCGUUGUAUUCAGCAAUUGAUUGCAUAUCCAUUGAUUCCUAGAAGUGGUUUUCAUAUGAAUACACCAACACAGCUUUGUUUACCACACAUAAGGUUUAUUAUGUUUUUGAUAUAGAUAACUUCUAUAGAAUUUCUACUAUUUCCAUUUUCGUCGCUUUCGAGUGUUUUAACGCACACAAAUCCUAUGAAAACAGUUUAUUAAAUUAAAACAAAUAUUUUGUAAUGGCGUCAAUAUUUUAAGUACAAAGCUCAACAACACUUCUGGCGCAAUGACAAGAAUACAAAUGUGACGCCGUCAAUUCUUUAUAACCUCCUUCGUCUGGUACUAAAAUGGAUACCAAAUGGUAUUAAAAAUACUAGCCAAUAACGCAAAUAAAAAAUAAAAUAAUAAAAGCCGUUAUUGAAAGAGUACCGUCCUUUUUCUAUCAGUGUGCAGUGUAAUUAUCAAAAAAUAGGCGAACUAAAAUUUUUUAAUGAUAAACAGAGUUCGAAAUUAUUGUCACUCCUUCGUAUUUUUGAAUUUCUUAAAAACCAAGUAGGGGUAGUUAAAGGGCUGGUUAAAGCAAUUCUUCACAUUUUUCUUUGAAAAAUUUGGUAAAAAUCGAUUUUUGUUUUGACGUAAAUAUUUAAGGACUUUUUCAAGGUCAACACGCUGUAACUCGUCCAUUUUUUCGAAAUUCGCAAAUCCAAAAGCAAUUUGUGAUUGGAAAUUCAGAAAGGAAUCAUAAAAUAAACAGCGUUUCUUCAAAUUUUCACUUCUAUUCCAUUUUUUAUGAAAGGGGUUAGCCUUGAAAAAAUUUUAAAUUUUUGAUGCCCCAAAAAAUUUUAGUUAAGUAGGCAGUAGUGAAAUUGAUGGCAAAAAAAUGCAGUUUAUUACAAUCCCCAAUUGUUUACCACACAAAUCAAACUCAAAAUCGCAUAAUUAAUAUUCAAAAAUUCAAAACAAAUCUUUGUGAAUUUGAAAUUGCUGUAACUUCGUAAGAUGUUCGAACUUUAUAAUUUUAAAAACUCCGUGCGAUUGUAAAAGGAGCAAUCUUUCAAUAUUGGCGCGAACUUGCGAAAAAAUCGAUUGUAAUUACCGAAAAAUAAGCUAACUACAAUUUGUUAAUGACCUACUAAGUUCGAAAAUACUGAAACUCCUCCGUAUUCUCAAAUUUCUAAAAACCAAAAGCAUCUCUAAGAGAGCUCUUGCAAGCUUCCAGCUGAUCUUCUUUCCAAAAUCGACCAUUCUGCAAAAAUGAGCUUCGUCGCUCGAUGGAAGAAGCGCGAUGGACUUUCGUAACAGAGCAAACAUUUUGAUAAUAAAAUUCAAUAAUUUGCAAGCGUUGUUUGUUUGUAAGACGAUUCAUGGUUAAAUUGUACACCAAAGACCAAAAGAUGCUUGAUAGUGAAACAAAACACGAAACAUGACUAGCUGUACCCGGCCCGCUCUGCUGCGCCUUCAUUAGCACCACGCGAAAAAUUAAUUUCUUACUUACUGACAUAUGUAUCUCCUCAGUACAAUUUGUUUAUCUACUGCCAAAUACCUCUUAUUGAACUCCAUAUAGCCAUAAUUGACAAAUAUUCA